CUGAGCACAAACCAGUGUGUGUUUCUCAGUUCUCCUUGGAGAUUACACUUCGGUGAUGACGAGACAGAUGGAGUGAGUCCCUAGGCCUCUCCAGGACUAAACUGAAAAACCAUGGAUUUCACCAAAGCUCUUUGAGCCAGUGAGCCUCCCAGCAGAGUCUCUGUCCCUCCCUUGACUCAGACCUGGAAAUAUAGACAGGAUCCUUAAGCGUUUGCCGAGCUACUAAGAGAGAGAGAAGGUCUUGCUGGCUGACCUUCUUAGGUGGCCACAGAAGAGAAGGACGGGGCUCUGGGAGUUGUCUGUGUCCCAGCUUUUGCCGCUGUCUCGCUGGGUGACGCGAGGCGAGAGCUGUCAGUGUUCAGCGUGACAGUGCUGGCUUCUGGACUCACCGUCCCCGGCGGAGCCCGUUCGCAUGGCUGGGCUGAGCUGAGCAGACCCAGGGCAAUGUGUUGUGUUUGGUUCACCCGAGGCAGCCAAUCCAACAAUUCACUGAAAGGCAACCUGAAGGAGCGCUGAGUCCGUUCCAGCUGUUGGGAAGCAAACAGAUCGCAUCGGAGUGAGAUGACGGUAAUUUGUAAAGUUGCCUCAAUCUCCCUGAAAGCAAAGCUCGGUGACAUUUUCUGCCAGCCUGCUGAAGACACGGGUAUUCUUCGUUACCUUGCACACAGCUCUGCCUGUAGCUUUUGCAUCAGUCUGAGCUCCUGUGCAUCUGUUCAGAGCCUGUGUGCAGAAUUCUUGCAUGGUGACCCUGAUGUGAAGUGCCUUUGCAAUUUCUUCUAGCAGGCAUUGAUGGGCAGAUGUGCAGCACCUGCCAGAAUGACUACCUUAUCUUCAGCUGGAACCUAAGACAAAGAAUUUGCUGUAAUGAGCCACUGAUGGAGAAUUUCAUCCUGAUAUUUGCAGCACUAGCACAAGAAAAGUUGGUGCCACGACUUUCCUACUAGGGUUAAGGACAGCACCCAGAGCAAGUUGGGAGCCUUGAGGACCUGUGACUGUCUAAAACAUGUUUAGAUUUUAUUUGUUUGCAAGAGAAGAACCUAAUUUGCAUUGCUGGAAAACAAUGA